GGGGGGGGGGGGGGGGGGGGGGGGGGGGGGGAGGGGGGGGGGGGGGGGGGGGUGGGGCGGCGGGGGGGGGGGUGACGCGGGGGGGUGGGCCCUUCUCUACGGAAUAGCCCUGGGGAACGGGGAGUAAUACCGGAUACGCCCUCUUGGGGCAAGAUGUAUCGGGGAAGGAGCAGCCCGCGUUGGACUAGGUAGUGGGUGGGGUAAUGGCCUACCAAGCCGCCGCUCCAUAGCUGGUUUGAGAGGAUGAUCAGCCACACUGGGACUGAGACACGGCCCAGACUCCUACGGGAGGCAGCAGUGGGGAAUCUUAGACAAUGGGGGCAACCCUGAUCUAGCCAUGCCGCGUGAGUGAUGAAGGCCUUAGGGUUGUAAAGCUCUUUCAGCUGGGAAGAUAAUGACGGUACCAGCAGAAGAAGCCCCGGCUAACUCCGUG
rnacentral:rRNA from 1 species